rnacentral:tRNA from 1 species
UCCCUGGUGGCUCAGAGGGUAAAGCGUCUGCCUGCAAUGCAGGAGACCCAGGUUUGAUCCCUGGUUUGGGAA